rnacentral:lncRNA from 1 species
UCUUUUGUGGUAUUUCUAGAUCCUUACCAAGCAGUGAUGAUAUAUGCCUUCUCUCAAAGUAUGUAGUAUUUGUGGUAUGAAGCAUAGUGACCUUGCCUUCUCUCUCAUACUACUUUAACAAGGCUUUUGAUAUCUGGAGCUCAUAGGUGGGAGAUAAAGUAUACAUACUUACAAGACAUUUAUUGCAUAGUCAAACCAUGGAUCCAGAGAAACAAGUCAAUAAGUCAAAUCAACAUGUGCAUGUGUGGCGAAUGAAUGGUGUAUGGUGAUGAUGGUGAUAACAAUGGUGAAAGUCUAAUUCUACUUUUUGCUCUUUUGAGGAGAUACAUACCUUUCUUGCUCUUUUGAAACUUUUUGAGGAGAAUGAGAUUAUCUACAUUUUAUUUUUCUUUCCUCUCAGGUGGGUAUUGCACUCCUAAUUCUACUGUCGGGCACUUGUCCAUUUUUACCUCUCGUCUCACUUUUUCUUUUCUUUCGAGGUUCCGAGCACUUGCCCCUUUUUAUUUCCUCGUAUCCUUUUUCUCUCUCUUCUUUUUUUUAGAGCACUCAUUUCCUGAAAUAAUAUAGCAAGUGGUAGUAACCAAGAUAACUCGAGUAUUUAUUUCACAGGAAAAAACAGAAAUAGGAGAAUGUUUUUGGCUAUGCUCUCCCGGAUUAGGAGUAGAAUACUUUUGGGUGGCUCUAGAGAUGGAAAUGAGUGGAUAUAUGUGGAUGCGUACUUCCGGAGUAGAAGCAGCAUGUGUGAGUGAACGUGCAAGUGAAUCUUGAUUUAACCACACGAGAAGCUCCUAAGGGUCUACACAGCUUGACCACACUCAAUGCUCAUAAGCAGUAAAAAGUAAAUGUGUGGCUCAAAGUCUAGCAAGCAUGUAUAUAUGGCUGUGGUAGAAAUUUAAACUCUCAUCAUACAGGAACUCAUCAUGUGUUAUUUUAAAGAUUUUCAAAGAUAAAAUUCUGUAGAUUUCUAGCAUCUCUAUGAAUAGAUAAACAACAACUCAACCUUCUCAUAUCAUAUCCGUUAACAACUUAGACUUUCGAUCAAGUUCUCUUCCCAUAAGUUUAGGUUUUUAGAGCAAGCUUUAAAUUAUAGCAGUUAUGUCUAAACUAGAGAGAGAACUUCAAAUUUAAAAAUUAGGCAGAGCAACUAUUCAUCAUAUCCAUGCUAGAGUUUUAUUAUUAAGAUUCAGUUUAGCAUAGCCACUUUAUUUAUUUAUUAAGCACACUAAGCAAAAGAUAUAUAUAUAAGCACAAAAUAUUUAUUUGGUUUUUCAUGGUUAUGUAUAUAUAUUUUUUAUUUUAAUAUAGUAUAAGUAUAUAGAUAGAUAGAAAUACUUAAUGUGAUAACUAGGGGUGCCCAGCAGGUGGCAAAGGUGUAUUUGGGAGCACCCUGACAGCGAUUAGAAUGUCCUCCGUCUGCUAGUCUUCUUGAUCCUUGAAUUCUGUGAAGCUCAAAUAGACAACAAAGCUUUGUGGAACUGAUUAGGUGUUAGCAUAAAUAUCUAGCCUUUAUCAUGUUGAGCCUCCUCAAUAAAUGAUACUUUCUUUGGUAGGAUCACAAUUUUAUUUUUAUAUUUUCAUUUUUAUAGAGCAGAAGAAUAUUUUUAUUUUAUUAUUAUUAUUAUUGUUUUUAUGCCACCACAGUGAAUGUACUUAUGGGUUUUAUGCCACUUGUAUACUCACAUGGGGCAUAUUGGUUUUAACAUUUUUAUUUUCUUCUUUUCAAGAUGAUAUUAACCUGAUUUACUAAGGAAGCUAUUUUAAAUAAUUGUAAGGAAAAGGAUAACUACCAAGUUUACCUCUUGGCAAGGCGUUUGGUGUUUUUAAGUCCUCCGAACGGGACUCUCUGUUUUCUCAGUCGUCCUGGGAUUCGCUGAAUGAAACAUUGGCGGUCUUCUGGUUUGGACGAAGCUUUGCGCUGAAGUGUUGACGAUCUGAGCUUGGCUCUGGUUUUUCUGAAUAAUGCUUCGAGGUUGUCAACAAAAUUUCCUGGAAGAUGUCUUCUAUUCAUAAAUUACCCUACAUAAAAUAAUCAAAAUAGAAAAAUACAGGGGUAAAGCUCUAUGAGAGAAUUGAUAAUCUCAAUCAUAUUAGUGAUGCGAAUGAUGACUCAAAAUUCCAUAUUCAUUCCUUAUUAGUAAUCAACCGUCUUUGGCAACGGCGCCAAAAAUGCUUGUUGGGCAUUCUUAACGUCAUUACCCAAAGUAGACUUAGUUUUCUAAUUCUGAUAACGACGCCAAAAAUGUCAAACCUAUCCCUCAUGCCACUUAAGCCAAGUUGUCAUCCCCAGCAUGACAUGAGAGAAGCGGUAUUGAAAUAUGCAAUUGCUCUUCUGAAUAAAUAAUAAAUGAGAUCUGCAAGUGCACAGAUUAAUACCGAUGUAGCAUUUUAACCGGGAAGUAUUCUAGAUAUCGUUAUUUAUAUUUUUACCACUGGGAAGGGAUUGCUAAUCAUCAAUGUUG